CGUAGGGUGCGAGCGUUAAUCGGAAUUACUGGGCGUAAAGCGUGCGCAGGCGUGAUGUAAGACAGAUGUGAAAUCCCCGGGCUCAACCUGGGACCUGCAUUUGUGACUGCAUCGCUAGAGUACGGUAGAGGGGGAUGGAAUUCCGCGUGUAGCAGUGAAAUGCGUAGAUAUGCGGAGGAACACCGAUGGCGAAGGCAAUCCCCUGGACCUGUACUGACGCUCAUGCACGAAAGCGUGGGGAGCAAACAGGAUUAGAUACCCUGGUAGUCCACGCCCUAAACGAUGUCAACUGGUUGUUGGGUCUUCACUGACUCAGUAACGAAGCUAACGCGUGAAGUUGACCGCCUGGGGAGUACGGCCGCAAGGUUG
rnacentral:rRNA from 1 species